rnacentral:rRNA from 1 species
GUGGACGAACCUCUAGUGUUCCGGUUGUCGCGCCAGCGGCACCGCCGGGUAGCUACGUUCGGAAGAGAUAACCGCUGAAAGCAUCUAAGCGGGAAACUCGCCUCAAGAGAGAUCUCCCGGGCAUUUAUGCCCCUUAAGGUCACAGAAAGACUAUCUGUUUGAUAGGCUGGAAAUGGAAGCAUGGUAACAUGCGUAGUUGACCAGUACUAAGCGACCGUGUGAUUUGACUUCUCCCUUCCUUCU